AAGGGAAAAUGACAGGAGAGAAGGCAGCCAAGAAGUGGGAGAAUUUGAAGAAACGGACCUGAAACAACCAAAGACGGGCUCAGGUACAGACAGUGGCGAAACAACAGCAUCGAAUUGCCGGUACUAUGAGGCGAUGCACGCCGUUUUGGGGGGAAGGCCAGCAAUAGAUCCUCCCGUGAUUGUGGCAUCUUUCAAGCCGGCAGAGGACCCUACAUCAUUGUUAAUGGCCAUUGUCACGCCCGAA